rnacentral:tRNA from 1 species
GAGGGUAUUGCUCAGUGGUAGAGUGCCUGCUUAGCACAUAAGAGGUCCUGAGUUCAAUCCCCAGUACCUCCA